AGCAGCCGCGGUAAUUCCAGCUCCAAUAGCGUAUAUUAAAGUUGUUGCAGUUAAAAAGCUCGUAGUUGAAUUUCGAGAUCAAAUUGUUGGUCGUGCCUUGGUACGUACUGGCAUUAUUGGUUUCUCCCUUCUGAAGAACCAUGAUGUCAUUAAUUUGGUGUCAUGGGGAAUCAGGACUGUUACUUUGAAAAAUUAGAGUGUUUAAAGCAGGCUCACGCUUGAAUACAUUAGCAUGGAAUAAUGAAAUAGGACGUUUGAUUCUAUUUUGUUGGUUUCUAGGAUCGACGUAAUGAUUAAUAGGGAUAGUUGGGGGCAUUAGUAUUCAAUUGUCAGAGGUGAAAUUCUUGGAUUUAUUGAAGACUAACUACUGCGAAAGCAUUUGCCAAGGAUGUUUUCAUUAAUCAAGAACGAAAGUUAGGGGAUCGAAGACGAUCAGAUACCGUCGUAGUC
rnacentral:rRNA from 1 species